rnacentral:rRNA from 1 species
GAUCCUGGCUCAGGAUGAACGCUAGCUACAGGCUUAACACAUGCAAGUCGAGGGGCAGCGGGAUUGAAGCUUGCUUCAAUUGCCGGCGACCGGCGCACGGGUGAGUAGCGCGUAUCCAACCUUCCGUACACUCAGGGAUAGCCUUUCGAAAGAAAUAUUAAUACCUGAUGGUAUGAUGAGAUUGCAUGAUAGCAUCAUUAAAGGUUUAUCGGUGUACGAUGGGG